GAUGAACGCUGGCGGCGUGCCUAAUACAUGCAAGUCGAGCGAAUGGAUUAAGAGCUUGCUCUUAUGAAGUUAGCGGCGGACGGGUGAGUAACACGUGGGUAACCUGCCCAUAAGACUGGGAUAACUCCGGGAAACCGGGGCUAAUACCGGAUAACAUUUUGAACCGCAUGGCUCGAAAUUGAAAGGCGGCUUCGGCUGUCACUUAUGGAUGGACCCGCGUCGCAUUAGCUAGUUGGUGAGGUAACGGCUCACCAAGGCAACGAUGCGUAGCCGACCUGAGAGGGUGAUCGGCCACACUGGGACUGAGACACGGCCCAGACUCCUACGGGAGGCAGCAGUAGGGAAUCUUCCGCAAUGGACGAAAGUCUGACGGAGCAACGCCGCGUGAGCGAUGAAGGCUUUCGGGUCGUAAAACUCUGUUGUUAGGGAAGAACAAGUGCUAGUUGAAUAAGCUGGCACCUUGACGGUACCUAACCAGAAAGCCACGGCUAACUACGUGCCAGCAGCCGCCGUAA
rnacentral:rRNA from 1 species